rnacentral:lncRNA from 1 species
UUUUUUUUUUUUUUUGAAGUUUCCAUCAUUCAGUUAGGUCCGCCUGAAAGUACUGAUGGGAAUGAAUGCAAAUGGACAAGAUAAAAGAGCCCAUUCAGGGGAAAGUUAAUUUGCCUAAGGAUACUCUGUUGACAUUUGUUUAGCUUGAGAUGACAGUUCAGCAAACGGAAAUCCUUUGCCACAAAUCUUUGGUAUGAGCUGUGUCAUAACAUUUUGUUUGAAAAUAGCCUGCAGACCUAAAAUGAAUUUGGACAGUCAAAGUGAAUUAAUUAAGCUGAAAAUAACUCUCAAAACAAUGAUUUCCCUGUGUGUGUUUUAUUCAAAUCUUCCGGGUCACUAAUUUGUCAUGUUUUCUUUAAGAGGAGAAAACAAUGAGGAGGUGUAUUUGGCGCCCUCUAUGGUAAAAUAUUCUUGAUUUAACUACAGUAAAGAAAGAGCUGCUUGUUCUAAAUGAAGGUUCCCAUAAACCCUCAUUAUAAAUAUGUUCACCAUUUUGGAUGAAAUGCUUUCUGAAACAGCACUAGAUUUCCCGUCUCCUAAGAAGAUUCUGAACGUGAUUAUGAACAUAUUUGUCAGGCCCAGUUUGAGCUACACAACACAGUGGCCUUCUCAAAACCAAAGGGCUUGGAAAGGGUAUUAGAGUGCCUGCAAUUUACUCUAAAAUCCUUCAGUGUGGUCUGUACAUGUGACUGAGUCUCAGUCCACUUCCCAGGAACAGCCAGGUCCACUCAAUUGGAAAUACAAAACUCCAGAGGUAGUUAUAACUUACAUUUGAAAGACUCAUCAAAAGCCCACUUUGGCUCUCUUUGUCUUCAAUCAACACCAGAUAAUUUGCUAAUUAGCAUAAUGGGUGCUAAGAAUAAUUUUUCAUUGAUGAAAUGAUGGAAUAGCCAAGAAUAUUGUCUAGAAUCUAGACUCAAGACACUUUUGCCCAUGUAGGAGCAGUGUGUAUACAUCUGAUGAGCUCUUUGCUUAAUUUUAAUUUUCUAGUAGCCACGUUGAAAAAGUGAAAAGAAACAGGUGAAAUUAAUUUGAAUAAUACAUUUUAUUGAAUCCAAUAUAACCAAGUCAUCAUUUCAGCAUGUAAUUGAUAUUUAAAAUAUCUUUGAGAUGUUUUACAUUAUUUUUCUUGUCCUACGUCUCAGAAAUCCAAUGUGUAUUUUACAUAUUACUAGCCAUACCAGCACUGUGCUAGAACCUUUAUGUGUAUUUUAUAUCUCUAAUCCUUAAAGCAACCCUGAAAAGCUCAGGUAUUUUGGACUCAUUUUACAGAGAAGCAAACUGAGGCAUGGAAAUAUGAAGUAACUUUCUCAGGUGACAUGCAGUUGUCAGGGGCAGCCAGAGGUAGUAGGCUAUAGAGUCACAUUUAGGCCCCCUCUUUGUGGCAGGCACCCAUCCUCCACCUGCUGAUGCAGGGAUACAAAGGCCCAGACCUCCAGUCUCAAUUUCAACUUUCUUACAGAACAGCCCUCAGUUACAGUCACACCGGGCUCACUUUCUCCCCAUGGAGAAGGUGCUGGAUCCUGCCCUCCUCACAGCCACAGGGCACCUGUCCCCAGAGACCUUCCCAGGCAACCUCUGCAGUGUUUCAAAGGGACCCAGUCUAAGACACCAGGAUUCGACUCAAUCUCCAAAGCCCUUGCUUAGAUGUUUCCUUCUCUUGGGGCACCCAGCUGGCUCAGUGGGUAGAGCAUGUAGGGGUUGAUCUAGGGGUUGUAAGUUUGAGCCCCACGUUGGGUGUAGAGAUUACUUGAAAAAUAAAAUCUUAAAAAAAAGAAGAAGAAGAAAUGUCUUCCUCUUUAUGGGCUAACUGUAAAGAGGGUGUGGUGCCCUGCAUUGCUGACCCUUCGGUCUUUAGGAGCUAGGCAAUAGAGCUCAUUAGGAAAGCAAGCUGAGAAGUAAGCUAUCUGCAUUUUUAGAGCACACAGACAUAGAAGCAGGCACAUAAAUCAACAAGAAUGACAUCG